UAUUUGAACUGGCUCUGCUGGUACAUGCCAGCGGUCUGAACCAACCAAGAUAUGCGCACCGUUUUCGGCAUCAGUACACGCAACAAUCCCAACUUCGGUCACAGCCUGUGCUAAAGCCGCGUCAAAAUCGUCUGUUUCGUACAUAGACAGCAUCUCAGAGCGGUUACAAAAUAACAGCUCAACGUCUGAUUUAAUCAUAGCACGAAAUGCAUCCCGGUGUCGGCUCACACAGAACGGAUCAGAAAGCGUCAAAGACACUCGUCCCCCCGCAGUUCGGCAAGCUGUAAUUGCUUUGGCAAAGGCCGCAUGGCUUUCAGGGCCAUCAAAACGGUAACCUUCAAGGUAUAUCCAUUCGGCCUCAGCCAUCUGGUUUUCAUCGAUAUCGUCUGGAGUCAAAAACUCGGUUACACCCAGAUAAGUGUUCA
rnacentral:rRNA from 1 species